rnacentral:rRNA from 1 species
CACGUAGGAGGCGAGCGUUGUCCGGAAUCAUUGGGCGUAAAGAGCGCGCAGGCGGCUUGGCAAGUCGGGUGUGAAAUCUCGGAGCUUAACUCCGAAACUGCAUUCGAUACUGCCGUGCUUGAGGACUGGAGAGGAGACUGGAAUUUACGGUGUAGCGGUGAAAUGCGUAGAUAUCGUAAGGAAGACCAGUGGCGAAGGCGGGUCUCUGGACAGUUCCUGACGCUGAGGCACGAAGGCCAGGGGAGCAAACGGG